CGAACGGGUGAGUAACACGUGGGUUACCUGCCCCGAUGAUUGGGACAACCCGAGGAAACUCGGGCUAAUACCAAAUGUGCUCCUGGCCGUAAUGGCCUUGAGGAAAGGAAGCUUCGGCCUCCGCAUCGGGAUGGGCCCGCGGCCCAUUAGCUAGUUGGUGGGGUAAAGGCCUACCAAGGCGACGAUGGGUAGCUGGUCUGAGAGGAUGAUCAGCCACACUGGAACUGAAACACGGUCCAG
rnacentral:rRNA from 1 species